rnacentral:rRNA from 1 species
CCUACGGGAGGCAGCAGUGAGGAAUAUUGGUCAAUGGACGAGAGUCUGAACCAGCCAAAGCGCGUGAAGGAUGACUGCCCUAUGGGUUGUAAACUGCUUUUAUAUUGGAAUAAAACGUUCCACGUGUGGGAUUUUGUAUGUACCAUAUGACUAAGGCUCGGCUAACUCCGUUCCAGCAGCCGCGGUAAUACGGAGGAUCCGAGCGUUAUCCGGAUGUAUUGGGUUUAAAGGGAGCGUAGGUGGAUGGUUAAGUCAGUUGUGAAAGUUUGCGGCUCAACCUGAAAAUUGCAGUUGAAACUGGCAGUCUUGAGUACAGUAGAGGUGGGCGGAAUUCGUGGUGUAGCGGUGAAAUGCUUAGAUAUCACGAAGAACACCGAUUGCGAAGGCAGCUCACUGGACUACAACUGACACUGAGGCUCGAAAGUGUGGGUAUCAAACAGGAUUAGAUACCCGAGUAGUC